UACGAAGGGAGCGUAGCGUUGUUCGGAAUCACUGGGCGUAAAGCGCACGUAGGCGGAUGUGUCAGUCAGGGGUGAAAUCCCGGAGCUCAACUUCGGAACUGCCUUUGAUACAGCACGUCUUGAGUCCGAUAGAGGUGGGUGGAAUUCCUAGUGUAGAGGUGAAAUUCGUAGAUAUUAGGAAGAACACCGGUGGCGAAGGCGGCCCACUGGAUCGGUACUGACGCUGAGGUGCGAAAGCGUGGGGAGCGAACAGG
rnacentral:rRNA from 1 species